UCGCCCUUCCCUCGCCGCCUAAGCCUGCCCUCCUCCGAGCGGGUCCCCUCCCCACAGCAACACGGCUUCUUUUCCUCAGCAAGGCGACAGGGGCUUCCCCUCAGCCGCCGCCGCCCCCGCCGGCCGAGCUCCGCCGCGUCCGCGGCCAGCGGCCGCCAUGCAGUUUAUGUUGCUUUUUAGUCGUCAGGGAAAGCUUCGACUGCAGAAAUGGUAUGUCCCACUGUCAGACAAAGAGAAGAAAAAGAUCACAAGAGAACUUGUUCAAACCGUUUUAGCACGGAAACCUAAAAUGUGCAGCUUCCUUGAGUGGCGAGAUCUGAAGAUUGUUUACAAAAGAUAUGCUAGUCUGUAUUUUUGCUGUGCUAUUGAGGAUCAGGACAAUGAACUAAUUACCCUGGAAAUAAUUCAUCGUUAUGUGGAAUUACUUGACAAGUAUUUUGGCAGUGUGUGUGAACUUGAUAUCAUCUUUAAUUUUGAGAAGGCUUAUUUUAUUUUGGAUGAGUUUCUUUUGGGAGGGGAAGUUCAGGAAACAUCCAAGAAAAAUGUCCUUAAAGCAAUUGAGCAGGCUGAUCUACUACAGGAGAGCCAGAAUGAAGAAUGGGGAGGUUUGUCUGAGGAUAUCUUAUGAUAAAGAGCAGUCUAAGGCUUUAGUCCCUUUGACCCCCAACUUAUUUAUUGGAAGCUGAGACCCCACGUAGUGUUCUUGAAGAAAUUGGACUGACAUAACUCUCCUCCCUUGUUGAUGACUUCUUGUGGCAUUUCACACACUGUAGAUGGUCACUGCCUUCAUGUCCAUGUUAGCUAAUGGUGUAAGAUGAUGUCUUGUCAGUAUUACUGUUUGCUAAGCUGCUUCAUUCAGGCCUACAUUUUUUUUAAAAGGGAACUUUGGUCAAUUGAAUGAUAAGGGACUUAAAUAUGGAUUAGAAAUAUGCAUAAAGUACCUUUCUUGGAUUUCUUAAAUUUAUAGGUCUAUUUCUCAUAACUGAUUAUGCGCUAUAUGAAAAUGACACAUCUGUAUACAAGCAAUAUUGAUCAAACAAUUUGGCAGUAUACAUUUAUUAAUCACUGUAUUUGACAAAGGAAGGUUAAAUUAUAAUGUGAAACCUGGUUCUACAAAACCAAAGAUGAGUGCAGCAUUUCAGUAUAUAUGAUAAAAAAUAAAGGGAAUCAACAUGUCACAUAUAGAAUGAAUGAAAAUUUAAUUGCUGAAACUUAAAAACAAAUUUAUACCAAAGAACCCUAUUGGGCACUAUAUACUACAUAAAGGGAAUACAGAUUAUUUUAGAUGACUAAAUUGGAAUGAUGUCAUUUAAAAUUAAUAACUAAGCAUUCUGAAUGAAUGGGACAAGGAACAAAGAUUGCUUCAUAAUAGCACAUAAUUUUUAAGGCCAAGGCACAUUUGACCCCUGAGAUGAUUUUUUUGUGUGUGGUCAUAAUCAUGUAGUUACUCAGUGGGAUUGUUUUUGAUACCCCAAAAUGAAGUAGAAAUGUUAAUUUACCAGUUCUUCAUAACAGUAUCUUACAGAAACGUUACUCUCUUCACAGUGUUGCAUAAAGUCAUUGUUUAAAGCAUGAAUGUUCCUUCUGGGGUGCUUGUUCAAGCCAAGUUUAUUUUGCUUCCCUGUUGCUUCCUUCCAAUUAGAAGUGCUGCAAACUUUACAGCAGCUUCCUUUCCUUCCAUGGCACUACCUAGUUAUCAGAAGUCAUACAAAAAUUUUAAAGAGACACCUUUCAUAUAACAGUGAGAGUUGAAGUAAAAUGGCAUUAGGUGGCCCUAUAUUUUUUAAAGCUUAUAUAAUUGUUCAGCAUCAUUUUUAUACAUACUUAAUACAUAUCUAAACAUGUCUUCAUGGUUUACACUUUCACUUGUAUAUGCUAGGCUGGAUUAAGCUUUGUUGUAAUUGUGACCAAUAUUCAGGCCACGUGAGCACUGUCUUAUCACAUCGCCAAUUAGCUGUAAUAAACGUUCAACAUAUAAACACCAUAGUGUGUUUUUAAUCUCUUUCCAAAAGUGUCAAACUGGCAAGCUGCUGAAGGAAGAUUUUUUUCCCCUUCAUUUGACUCCCCCCCCCCCAUUUGAACGUGGUGGUGGGUUUAUAAGCACACACAAGAAAAAAUGGUGACAAUUCAAGGAGUCUUCAUGUAUUUCAAGUUCAUUGAAAAGUAACGUGGAUUCCAUGCUACCAAGAGCUUAUACCAACACAUUUAUUUUCAAUCAAUAAAUGCCGCUUUUAAAACCUUGA